rnacentral:tRNA from 3 species
GCCGCUGUAGCUUAACGGAUAAAGCAGGCCCGUCCUAAGGGCAAGAUUGGAGGUUCAAUUCCCCCCAGCGGCGCCG